UUUCCAAAUAGACCCCCGGCAUCCUUCCCUCCAAGAACUUCCCACCUUGCUCUUGGGGAGACUCGAACUCACAACCUCUUGGUUGGAAGUGGAGGUUUCAAGUUAGACCAAUAAUGCCAUGGAGAGUUGCAACAUUAUAAUCUCUUAUCGUUCAUUGAGAAAAGAUCUCUUCCCGUGUGGGUAACACCCAAAUUAAAACAAAGAAUUACAUACCAUGUCAAAGUAACUACCUUUACCGAUUGAGAUCAAACUAUACACACCCUAAACUCUGCUUUAUUUUCAUCCCAAAAUUAGAUGUAACAGCAAUAUUUAUGNNNNNNNNNNNNNNNNNCUCCACCACCCCCCUCGCUUUCCCAAUAUAUAUCCACACAGCCGACAAACAAUUAAUAAGCACCUAAACUUCAUAAACACAAACAAAAAAGGACAAAUUCAGUAAAAAUAAAGCUUCCAAACACACUCAAAUAUGUUCAAAUUUAACUCAUUAUACACGACAUAAAGAAAACUUAGCUACAUCGAACAAUUGAGGUAAAAAACGCAAAGAUCAAUUGACUAGGACCGUAGUUUAACAAAUUCUGGAGCUAAACUUUAUAAACACAAAUAAAAAGGCAAAUUAAGUAAAAUUAAAGAUUCUAAACACACUCAAAUGUUCAACUAUAACUCAUUAUACAUAUCCUACAGGAAAUUAAGCUAUUACGUAGAACAAACACGGUAAUUGAGGUAAAAAAAACCAAAUAUCAAUUGACUAGGACCAUAAUUUGAACAAACUCUGGAGCUACGAUAAAUGAAAGUUCAAAACUGAGCUAAACAGAAACAUAUACGAAUAAAAUACAGAGGAAAUAUACGAAUACGUAAAAUACGUCUGUAGAAGAGAAAUUGAGAAAGAGAGAUAUUACCGAGAUUUUAGCUGUUCUCCUGAGAUGUUUGUGCGGUGGCGAUGGCUUCAGAUCGCCGACGUGGGAUGUGGCGGAGAAAGGAGGAGGAUUGGCGGGUAGUGGGCGGGGGGAAUGUGGAAAGACAGGUGGGUUGUAGUGGCUGCCGAGCAAAUAUUUUGCUAAUUAUUUUCCCAUAGCUGUCGUGUGAACAAAAAGAGGCUUAUUUUGGAAUUUGGAGUAAAAAAGAGUUUGCUUUGCCUCAAAAAUACAAUAUUUAUAUAGUAACUCUUUCUUUUAUUUGAAUCUUGUAUUAUUUCUAUCAAACUAAUUUUCAAAUAUUAAGAUAGAUUAAUGUGAACUUUU
rnacentral:lncRNA from 1 species